rnacentral:rRNA from 1 species
CAAUAGCGUAUAUUAAAGUUGUUGCAGUUAAAAAGCUCGUAGUUGGAUUUCUGGGAGGGUGCCGAUGUCCGCUUAACGUGUGUGCAGCGGCGCCCUCUCAUCCUUCUGUUAGCGUCUCUUGGCAUUCAUUUGCUGGUGGCGGGCUCAGAUAUUUUACCUUGAGAAAAUUAGAGUGUUUCAGGCAGGCUAGGCCGGAAUACAUUAGCAUGGAAUAAUGGAAUAGGACUACGGUCUCUUUGUUGGUUUGAGGGACUGCAGUAAUGAUUAAUAGGGACAGUUGGGGGCAUUCGUACUUGUAAGUCAGAGGUGAAAUUCUUCGAUUUUACAAAGACGAACUAAUGCGAAGGCAUCUGCCA